UACGUAGGGGGCGAGCGUUGUCCGGAUUCAUUGGGCGUAAAGAGCACGCAGGCGGUUUGGCAAGUCGGACGUGAAAAUCCGGGGCUCAACCCCGGACCUGCAUCCGAAACUGCCCGACUAGAGGUAGGUAGGGGAGAUCGGAAUUCCUGGUGUAGCGGUGAAAUGCGCAGAUAUCAGGAAGAACACCAAUGGCGAAAGCAGCUCUCUGGGACGGUACUGACGCUGAGACGCGAAAGCGUGGGGAGCGAACAGG
rnacentral:rRNA from 1 species